UACGUAGGUGGCAAGCGUUGUCCGGAAUUAUUGGGCGUAAAGCGCGCGCAGGCGGUCCUUUAAGUCUGAUGUGAAAGCCCUCGGCUCAACCGAGGAGGGUCAUUGGAAACUGGAGGACUUGAGUGCAGAAGAGGAAAGUGGAAUUCCAAGUGUAGCGGUGAAAUGCGUAGAGAUUUGGAGGAACACCAGUGGCGAAGGCGGGUCUCUGGGCAGUAACUGACGCUGAG
rnacentral:rRNA from 1 species